rnacentral:rRNA from 1 species
AAGCGUUGUUCGGAAUUACUGGGCGUAAAGGGCSCSUARGCGGCCUUGUAAGUCUCGUGUGAAAGCCCUCGGCUUAACUGAGGAUCUGCACGGGAUACUGCGAGGCUUGAGUUCGGGAGAGGAAAGCGGAAUUCCGGGUGUAGCGGUGAAAUGCGUAGAUAUCCGGAGGAACACCAGUGGCGAAGGCGGCUUUCUGGACCGACACUGACGCGGAGUGCGCGAAAGCUAGGGGAGCAAACGGGAUUAGAUACCCCGGUAGUCCUAGCUGUAAACGAUGAUCGCUGGGUGUGGGGGGUUUUUACUCCCUCCGUGCCGAAGCUAACGCAUUAAGUGAUCCGYCUGGGGAWUACGGUCGCRAGGCUG